GACGUAGGGCGCGAGCGUUGUCCGGAUUUAUUGGGCGUAAAGAGCUCGUAGGCGGCUUGUCGCGUCGUCCGUGAAAACCCACAGCCCAACUGUGGGCUUGCGGUCGAUACGGGCAGGCUAGAGUUCGGUAGGGGAGACUGGAAUUCCUGGUGUAGCGGUGAAAUGCGCAGAUAUCAGGAGGAACACCGGUGGCGAAGGCGGGUCUCUGGGCCGAUACUGACGCUGAGGAGCGAAAGCGUGGGGAGCGAACAGG
rnacentral:rRNA from 1 species